UAUCACCAGGAGAAUCUUGCAGGAUC
rnacentral:piRNA from 1 species